CAAGAUUGUGCCUAUAGUAUUAAUAACAAUAACAGUCAAUCAUUAAAACCAAAGAAUUGAAAGAAGGAAUACCAAAUUGCAAAUAAAUUAAACUUGAACAAAAUAAAUAUGAAAUAACAAGCUAAGGGAAAAAAAUAAUCCAAGAAUCGUCCAAGGACUGGAGAGCAAUUUCACCUUUAUUCUCUUUUCUUCUUUUAUGACGUAAAACUCUAGAUCUAUUUUUUAAUGUAAAGAUUUAUUACCCCCUACUUUCUCUUUUCCACGUAAACAACCUACGGUUUUUUCUAUAUAAACUUAUAGCAGCCACCGCUUGUCCUCACUGCAGAUCCCUUCUUCCCAUCUUUUGCUUGUUCAAUUAGAUUUCUGUGAAAGAAUCCUAAAUGUUCCAAAAUCAAAAUCAAAGUUGUGAAGAAAUGAGGUUAAUUUAAAAUUAAUACAUUGAUUGAUAUGUUAGAUUUUUCUUGAUGUAAUUGCUUUAAUUGAUUUUGAUUUUUAAAUUAUUAAAAUAAUCUGAAUCCUUUUUUUUAAAAGAAAAAUAGUAAAAUUACAUCAAAUUAAAAAGAUCAAAAGCACCUCUUGCUUUAUCUUGUUGAAGGAUGUUUGAAACUUCAUUAGGGAUUGAAUCAAAGAUUUAAAUACUUGAAUCCCACGUAAGACCCAACUUGGCUAAGCAAUUCGCAGUUAUAUUAUCUUCUCUAGGUAUAUGUCGCAACCACCAUAGUCCUUCGGUUCUCAAGAGUCAUCAUACCCUUCAAAGUAUUGUGAUGCCUGAGUCUUCCCAAUUAUUAACAAUCAAGGAUUUGAUCGCUUCUGAAUUAUCAGAUUGAGUUGUGGCUCGCUUGUAUCCUUUACUAAGAAUAAUUAGUAUUCCAUCUAGAAUACCCCAGAGCUUAGCUUCAAAAGACGUGCAUCAUCCCAAGAAACGGUUAAACCUUAUGAUCCAGUUUCGUUCUUGAUCUCAAACCACUCCUCCAGAAGACGUGUUUCUCGUUGAAGUAGUCACUGCCCCAUCCGUAAAUAAGUGAAUUAGUGAUCCAUUAGAGAUUAGAUGAGACCUCAAAUUAUGGCUCCUAGUCUUAUAAUCCUUGUGGAUUAAUUCAUAUUGUUGUGCCCAACUAAGGGAGACUUUAACAACUUCGAUUGCUGUCAAAGUAAUAUUCUGGAAAAUGAAUAAAUUAUUGUUUUUCCAAAUGCGCCAACUGAUUAUUCCAAAAAGACACGACCAAAUGGUGCCCCGUCCCUACAACCUUAUGUGACAGGAAAGGUUAGUAGAAAACCAAGAUUGAAAGGAUUUAGAGAAAAGCAUGUGUUGUUGAUUAGAUGGGAGCACUUGCAUCCAUAUUUCCUUAGCUGUUGGGCAAUCCUGAAGUACAUGGAUAGUAUUCUCAUUGUCAUGACCACAAAGGGAGCAAGAUCUAUUGCUCAUAAUUCCCCGGCGAGUUCGUUUUGAGUUGGUGAGUAAUCUGUGCUUGGAAGCUAACUAGAGGGAAAUUUUUAACUCUUUGUGGCCCUUGAAACUUUUAAAUAUGUUUCCAACAAACGUCUUUAGAAUUCCGAGAAGCCUCCUUCAAAGACCAAAAAGCACUUCGAACUGAGAAAGUACCUGAGGUCAUUCGUGCCCAAACUACCCUAUCUGGGCUCGAGGCAGGAUGUAGGGGUGGAAUGCUUACUAUACAUUUUAUUACAUCCUCUGGCAACCAAAUGCAAUGUAAUACCCCAUACCCGUACCUGAGACCGGGAUAGGAUACGAGGCAUUACCGAGAUUUCCAGAAUAAUUUCAAUUAAUUUUUAUUAUUUAAUAUUCAUUUUUAUGUUUCAUGUAACAUCCUUUUCAUAUAUUCAAUUAAAAAUAUCAUCAUAUAAAAUACGAUACAAUACUUAAAUUGUCAUAUUUACAAUGCUCAUUCAGGAUAUACGAACCUACUUGACUAAAUUGCAGAAAUACCAAGAUUUAGGGGCAUAUUGGUAAUUUACCAUUUUCCCAAAUUUCACCCAAUCUUAAAUUGAUAAUUUCAUUGCAUAUAUUAAUUCAGAUAAUAAAACAAUUCAUUCCUUUCAAUUUAGUCAUUUUCGAUAUUUUUACAAAAUUACCCAUAAAGUUUUACUUUUAUUCAAUUUAGUCCUUGAGCCAAAAACAUACAAAUUAGCCAUGCUAGCUGAAUAUUCAUACAUAUUUUUCCUCCUCCUCCUCUCCAUUCCACAUCCUUAGUAUAAACAACACACUUGUAGGUAACAUUAUCCAUAAUUUUCACUAUCUACUUAUGUGAAUAUUCAAGCUGUCCAUCUGUGUCAUAGUCACUAAAUUAUUUUUAUCUUGAGCUACAGAACUCCAAAUUAAGAUCCUAUAAUUUUCCCUGAAACUAAACUCUUAUACCUUCUUACCACAAAAAUUUCAUAAUUUUUGGUUGGGCCAAUUAAUACAGUUUAUUCAUUAAAGUCUCCCCUGUUCUGCUGUCUGACAGUUCCGAUCCUUCUUCACUAAAAAUUAAUUAUCUUCUUGUACAGGAUUCUAAUAAUGUCUUCGUUUGUUUCUCUUGAAAAUAGACUAAUUCAGGAUUCUAAACAUAUAAAUUUAAGCCCCUAAUUAUUUUUAUCCAAUUUUUUAUGAUUUUCCAAAGUCAGAACAGGGGAACUCGAAAUCAUUCUGACCUUGUCUCACAAAAGUUAUUAUAUCUCAUAAUUUACAAUUCAAUUGCUUAUAUAGUUUCUUUCAUAAGAAACUAGACUCAAUAAGAUUUAAUUCCAUAUUUUAUUCAUCCUAUAAUUAAAUUUCUACAAUUUUUUGUGAAUUUUCAAACUUAAACUACUGCUGCUGUCCAAAAUAGUCUUAGUGCAAAAUGUUGAUUUUCUACUUUUAAUUUCAAUUUAAUCCUAACUAAAUUCACUUACUUUUCUAUCUUAAUUCAUACUUUGCUUCUACUCAAUUUUUAACCAAACUUACACAUAAUUAUCUAUUUUUCAUCAUAAAACCAUAAUUUCAAAAUUCUUUCAAUUUAGUCCUUAAAGCAUAAAACUUAUGAAUCACUUUACAAUUCAAUCCUUAUUUCAUUUCUAACUUGAAUUUCUAUCAAUUUAGCCCUUAAUUCAUCUUUUUUGUUCAAUAAGAACAAUGUCUUAUAAUCAACUAUCUUACAAUAAAUCAACUUAAUUUCAUCAAAACCUUGUUCUAAAGUUUCUAAAACGUCAAAAUUAAGUAAAAAGAGCUAAAUUGACAUACCUAUUUAAAUCUCAAGCUUCAAACCUUCAAUUUUCCCUUUCUUCUUUCUUUUCUCCUUUCUUUCUUUCUUUCCCUGCUUUUCGUUUUGCCUAUUCUGUUUCUAUUUCUAUUCUUUUUUUUUU
rnacentral:lncRNA from 1 species